ACCAUUGUAUCUAUGUCAAUCCACUUGUGUUGAGAUGGAUUGGGGUGUAAAUUAGUUUAAGUUCCACCCUAAUCCACUCCAACACAUGUGGAAUGAAGUGAAUACAAGA
rfam:Sorghum bicolor cultivar BTx623 chromosome 2, whole genome shotgun sequence.